AGGGGCCCUGGAGAGAGAGGGAGAGAGAGAGAGAGAAACUCAGCCUGGAGCUUCGGGACCUCCUCCCGCAUGGGUGUCCCUUUCCCCCUCACCCACUCACCUCCCCAAAGCAUGAGCAACAGCAGCCUCAGCAGCAUCCCUUCCUCAUGCCUGGAGGCAGUUCACCUUCUGCAGCCCCAUCUGAGAGAGAAUGGAAAGAUGCAGAUAAGGGAGGGCAGAAGAAGCUUAGACCGGAAGCCUGUGGUGAGAACGAAAAGUCACAAGGCCAGAAGAAGGAACUUCUUCCAGCACCAUUUCUGCAUGUGGCAAAUGAACCCUCAGGCUCAGAGGAGAAUCUCUGAGAGCAGCUCGCCCGGAAAUUUCCGUACACCUGCUACCCUCACAGCUGUGGCCACAGCAGCAGCUACAUCUCUGGGCUGCAAAGAAUAGUCUGGAUUCUGUUGGUGCCAUUAGAUGAGCCUGGAGGAGGGGGCAACUGCAGGCUGGUAAGAGAACUGGGUCGGGGGAGUCUUUUGGAUGGAAAGUGUGGUCUCUGCCCCAAAGUUCUCCCUUCAACAGGAAUACCCCCCUCUCUCAGGCCACUGCAGUAAAGUGAAAGCUGAGCUCAUCUCCCCCUGGACCUCAGCAGGUGCAUGCUUCCCUCCUUCUGAACCCUGAAACCCUGCCCCUCAUCUCUUGAAGACCAAUGCCCACUUCCCUGUAGGGAGGUGUGGAGUUUGAGGAUCUAUUUUCUCCAGAAGCUUUCUUAGAGCCAUAGGUACAGAGGAGUGAGAUUCUGAGACUCUCCUGGGACCAAAUUUUCUCUGUCUAGGGCCCACCCUGAGGCUGGAGCACCCUGGACAGCCACAGGAAGCACUGGGUAAACUCUCGAAUCCAUCUCCCCAAGGAGUCUAGGACUGAGCCUGGAACUCACUGCAGUGCCAGUCUUGGGUGGGUGGUAUGGGUUCAGGGGGAGAUCACAGAUGACUGGCUGUCAUCCCUCCUCACAGUUCCUGUGAAGCCCAGCACAUAUGAGUACAAAAUAUCCCUACUUGUCUUCUCCACAGCCUCUCCAGCCUCCAUAAUUCCUCCCCACCAUGGGCAACAGACCACCUGCCUUCCCUCUCCUAAUUGUGUCAUUCCUGCAGCCACUCAUUUCUCAGGUGACACCUCUGAGCUUUCCCAGUCUAAUCAAGGUACCUCAUAUACCUCCACAUUGCAUGUCUUCCAUCACCUCCAAGACAAGGCCUCCGUCCACCUCCUGGUAGUUCUUUUCUUCAUCAUCCUGCAGGCACUAAGAUCUCUAAGUAGGCACCAGCCAGAGAUGGAGCAAGAGAAAGAGAAGAAGAGAGGAAAAGAGAGGGAUGGGUGAGGGAGAAGAAGAGGAAGAGAGAGAGCAAGAGAAAGAGAGAAUCAGCAUGUCAGAGAAAGAUGCCCUUCCUGUCUAUGAGAAGUACAGGAGGAGGAGAUGGGGAUUUACCCCACCCAGAGAAGGAGGAAUUUCUGAAGAGAUUGGGGGUGGAUUCUGCCCUAUGCAUCAAGAAACCAAGGGUAAGAGAGCAAUCCGUCUGUAGCUGAAUAUAGGACCCUAUCUCCUAGGGUGGCAAUAAUAGAGGAGAGGGGUAUGAGAACUAUAUAAAUUAAUUAAAAUUAAAGAAAGUUAAGUCAGGGGCCUGCUUGAUGCUGCCUGAAAUGGAACUCGACUGCCUCCAAGGAGCCUCUGGAACAAGAAAAUUUCUGCAGAACUGGAUUAAUAGCUACUUUCCCAUGCCUUAGCACUUACCCACACCAUAAAGGGAAAACGGACCACAAAAGACACCUCAUAAAUGUCAAAGUUAAUCCCAAAUCCUUUCCCCCCAAUACUCUAGUUCCCCAUACCAGCAAUUCUCACAGAAACUACGAACAGGUACAAGCUCCAACUCUAGAGAUGGUUGACGUCUCUCUUCUUGCUUUUGUGAGGAGAGUCCAUCACUCUGUCUCUAGGUGACUUUUUUUUUUUUCUUAUUCUCUCUGAUCAAAAAACUGACUUCCUCUUUAAAACUCUGUGCUGACUCACAUCUUGAAUUAUUUCCUGCAAAACCAAGAACCCUCUCAGCUGGGGGCUGGAGUCCCUACUCGCCCCUUGACGUCAGCAAGGUGUCUGAGAAGGAGCCUAUUCUGUUUAUCCUCGGUUCCCAAACCUCUCCCAAUUCCCCUAUUGGAGUUUCACCAAUGGGGGUCAGUGGAGGGCGCUCUUUUUUCCCCCCCAAGACACGCUCUCCAAAUGGGAGCAGGCGCUGUCCUUGGUACUGAAGCAGGAUAGGGACCAGAGUUUAAGAAAAUGAAUUAGAAUUCAAGACUUACAAACUCAACUACAUAAAAUUUGGAGGCAAACCCAAGCCAAACUAGGUUAGAAGAAAAUAAUAAACUGGGCAAGGAAAUUCACAAUUGUAUUACAGCCAAUGAUUGUAUUUCCCAACAUCACAAGAAAUUAUUCAAAUCCUUAAAAAAAAUACUGUAUAAGCUAAUCACGAAAAGAUUAGAUGAACCAUCAUUUCAUAGAAUGGCGGAACAGGAUAGAAUAAAAAAUACUAGUGACUAUGAAACCUAUUCUAAAAUGCUCACUGUCAUACUCAACAAGAGGAAUGCAAGUUAAAGCUACAGUGAGGUACAGUUUUCAUUGGUAAGAAUACAACGAUCAAAGUGGUUGCUAACGCCCUCUGCUGUUGGGGUUGGAGUGAAACAGAGAGGCUAACUGCAGGGAAGUGGGGUGCAAACUGCUUCAACCUCUUGGAGAGCCAUUGGCCAUGUCUAUCAAAAUUAGAAAUGCAUGUGUCCUUUCAUUGAGUAAUUCAAAUUCAUACGGAUACAAAAUAGAUGUACAACAUUAUUCAUUGUAGUGUCAUGUAUAAGUAACCAAAGUUUUUUUCCUAAUCAGUAUGCCUUAGUUUAAAGUGUAAUACAUAUAUGCAGUGGAAUGCUUUGCAGUUGUAAAAAAAAAACAAAAAACGAUGAAGCUCUUUAUCUACUAACAUGGAAGGCUCCCCAAGAAUAAUUGUUAAUUUAAAAAUGGGAUACAGCCCUGGCUAGUGUGACUUAGCAGACUGAGCGCUGGACUGCGAAGCAAGGGGUCACUGGUUCGAUUCCCAGUCAAGGCACAUGCCUGGGUUGUGGGCCAAGAAGUCCCUAGUAGGGGGUGUGCAAGAAGCAACCACACAUUGAUGUUUCUCUCCCUUUCUUUCU